rnacentral:rRNA from 1 species
GAUGAACGCUGGCGGCGUGCCUAAUACAUGCAAGUCGAGCGAACAGACGAGGAGCUUGCUCCUCUGACGUUAGCGGAGGACGGGUGAGACACACGUGGAUAACCUACCUAUAAGACUGGGAUAACUUCGGGAAACCGGCGCUAAUACCGGAUAAUAUAUUGAACCGCAGGGUUCAAUAGUGAAAGACGGUUUUGCUGUAACUAAUAGAUGGAUCCGCGCCGCAUUAGCUAGUUGGUAAGGUAACGGCUUAUCAAGGGAACGAUGCGUAGCCGACCUGAUAGGGUGAUCGGCCACACUGGAACUGAGACACGCUCCAGACUCCUACGGGAGGCAGCAGUAGGGAAUCUUCCGCAGUGGUCGAAAGCCUGACGGAGCAACGCCGCGUGAGUGAUGAAGGUCUUCGGAGCGUAAAACUCUGUUAUUAGGUAAGAACAAAUGUGGAAGUAACUAUGCACGUCUUGACGGUACCUAAUCAGAAAGCCACGGCUAACUACGUG